rnacentral:rRNA from 1 species
GUGUCAGCAGCCGCGGUAAUACGUAGGUGGCGAGCGUUGUCCGGAAUUACUGGGUGUAAAGGGUGCGUAGGCGGGUUGACAAGUCAGAUGUGAAAUCCCAUGGCUUAACUGUGGGACUGCAUUUGAAACUGUUGGCCUUGAGUGCAGGAGAGGUAAGCGGAAUUCCCAGUGUAGCGGUGAAAUGCGUAGAGAUUGGGAGGAACACCAGUGGCGAAAGCGGCUUACUGGACUGCAACUGACGCUGAUGCACGAAAGCGUGGGGAUCAAACAGGAUUAGAUACCCUGGUAGUCCACGCUGUAAACGAUGGAUACUAGGUGUAGGGGGUAUCGACCCCUACUGUGCCGGAGUAAACACAAUAAGUAUCCCACCUGGGGAGUACGGCCGCAAGGUUGAAACUCAAAUGAAUUGACGG